rnacentral:lncRNA from 1 species
CCGACCUCAGAUGAUCCACCCCCUUCGGCCUCCCAAAGUGCUGGGAUUACAUGGUAAGCCACCGCGCCCAGCCUCUAUGCUUUCUUUCAAAGGGUACAUACAAUGCAUAGGAUUUGGAGAGGUGGGGAAGUGUGGAGAGAGAAGGUGUUUUUAAGAAUUUGGCAUGGAAGGACAAGCACACCUUAAUCCUCUUCCAGGCUCAACCAAAUUCCAUUCUGAAGUGUUUAAAAGCAAAGCUUUGGAAUCAGACACACCCAGGACACCAUAUGGAAACUCUUGCACAGUGCUGGGCCCAGAGGACUGCCUCUUCCCAGCUUUGGAAUCAAUUCCCUGGGACUCCUGGGAGACCAGCACCUGACGGUCAGAUAGCUUAUGAGGAGAUUUGGCCCACAGAGACCAUAAGUGCCCUCAAGCAACAAGAAAGGUGCACCCA